GUACCGUGAGGGAAAGAUGAAAAGAACUUUGAAAAGAGAGUUAAACAGUACGUGAAAUUGUUGAAAGGGAAACGAUUGAAGUCAGUCAUACCAACGGGAAAUCAACCUUUUGAGCUCGGUCUCGUGGGUUUUGAAGAGUUUCAAAGCCUUCGGAUUCGCGGGAUUGGGAUCUCUCGGUGUACUUUUUCGUACGGUUAGUCAACAUCGGUUUUGAAUGUCAUAAAAUGACUGGAGGAAUGUAGCUUCGAUCUCGUAUUGAAGUGUUAUAGCCUUUGGUAGAUGUGAUGUUUGAGACCGAGGAUUGCAACGGAUACCCUUCAGGGCUAUUCGUCUGAUCUCUGAUACGUUGCCUUGAUGUUGAAAGCUUGCUUAUGAUGUUAGGGUAUUACGGUCAAAAGGUUAGAACGAAUUACAUUCGUUAAGG
rnacentral:rRNA from 1 species